UACGUAGGGUCCGAGCGUUGUCCGGAAUUAUUGGGCGCAAAGGGCUCGUAGGCGGGUCUUUAAGUCAGGGGUGAAAUCCUGGAGCUCAACUCCAGAACUGCCUUUGAUACUGGCGAUCUUGAGUCCGGGAGAGGUGAGUGGAACUCCGAGUGUAGAGGUGAAAUUCGUAGAUAUUCGGAAGAACACCAGUGGCGAAGGCGGCUCACUGGCCCGGUACUGACGCUGAGGUGCGAAAGCGUGGGGAGCAAACAGG
rnacentral:rRNA from 1 species